rnacentral:rRNA from 1 species
UACGUAGGUGGCGAGCGUUGUCCGGAUUUACUGGGCGUAAAGAGCGCGCAGGCGGUCGAUCAAGUCGGAUGUGAAAGCCCCCGGCUCAACUGGGGAGGGUCAUUCGAUACUGGUCGACUCGAAGGCAGGAGAGGGAAGCGGAAUUCCCGGUGUAGUGGUGAAAUGCGUAGAUAUCGGGAGGAACACCAGUGGCGAAGGCGGCUGCCUGGCCUGUUCUUGACGCUGAGGCGCGAAAGCUAGGGGAGCAAACGGG